UUGACCUCGGAUCAGGUAGGACUACCCGCUGAACUUAAGCAUAUCAA
rnacentral:rRNA from 3 species